rnacentral:lncRNA from 1 species
UGGAAAUGCAAGGCUGCAAAGUCCCUAGGUGGAAAGGUCUCAAGGUCUCACACCCCUAUCAGCCAGAUUACCAUUCAUGUGGAGCAUUCAUGUGCAAAGUAGGUGGACAUUGGAGACAUGACUUUGAUCAUUCUCCUGUAAAGGUACUGUUCCUGUAAUAGUGUGUUUUAGACUGGUCCUAGUUACUGCCACAGUGUGAAUUGAAUGCCAAAUUUCAGAUUUAUUUUGUCAGUUUGCAGAGUACCUUCUACGAGGUGAAAACAUGUAUUUCUCUACACAAAUGGAACACCUGGACCAAAUGUUCCCUGAAAUAGCCCUGCACUUGACGUUCUAAUCAUUGACAAAUGCAUUUAAAUAUGCCUCUCUCCACAGAACAUCAACAGACUGUGCAGAGUGUGUGAAAAAAGAACCACACCUGAUGGAACAACAGAAACUAUAUGGGUAAGAUUACCUUAAAACAACCUAUUUCAGUAACACUGUAUAUUAAUAGUCUCCUAUAUAGAUAUGACUCACGUACACAUGUUUUUAUAUGGCCCUUUUUUCUGUCAGCUGCCACCGAUGGUUCCACAUUGCAUGUGUGGCUUGACCUUCAGUGUCCCAUUCUCUAUGUUUUGUAGGUCAGAGUGAGCCGUGAGUACUUGUUGUUGUGCACCGAUUGUUAUUUUAUUGUCAGCAAUAUAAUGUAUAAUUAAUUAAUGAAGCCACAAUUCUGAAUCUGUUUCAGGCAACCCAUUGAUGAAGCUGCGGACCAACAUUUGUCGUUUUUGUGGCUGGGGAAGAACAGCAUUUUAAAUGUAUUUUUCAAUUGAUAAGGCCGGGAAGAACAGCAUUUAAAAUGUAUUUCUCAAUUGAUGAGGCUGGGUAUGAACAGCAUUUUUUGUUGUUGUCAUAUGCAAGUGUCUUUUCGAGCAGUUAGAGGUGAUCUACACUGUCUGAGAAAGGGAUACUUCCCCAUGUUGUCUCCAAUGCUUCCCACAGUUGUGUCAAGUUGGCUGGAUGUCCUUUGGGUGGUGGACCAUUCUUGAUACACACGGGAAACUGUUGAGCGUGAAAAACCAAGCAGCGUGGCAGUUCUUGACACAAACCGCUGUGCCUGGCACCUACUACCAUACCCUGUUCAAAGGCACUUAAAUGUUUUGCCCAUUCACCCUCUGAAUAGCACACAUACACAAUCCAUGUCUUAAUUGUCUCAAGGCUCAAAAAUCAUUCUUUAACCUGUCUCUUCUCCUUUAUCUACACUGAUUUGAAGUGGAUUUAACAAGUGACAUCAGUAAGGGAUCAUAGCUUUCACCUUGAUUCACCUGGUCAGUCUAUGUGAUGUUUUAAAUGUUUUGUACACUCAGUGUUUUUGCAUGUCUUAAUAAUAAUAAUAACCGUAUGAUAUAAUAACCACGGCAGCCAGCAUUGCAAAUAAAGAGAUGUGC